UACGAAGGGGGCUAGCGUUGCUCGGAUUCACUGGGCGUAAAGGGUGCGUAGGCGGGUCUUUAAGUCAGGGGGGAAAUCCUGGAGCUCAACUCCAGAACUGCCUUUGAUACUGAGGAUCUUGAGUUCGGGAGAGGUGAGUGGAACUGCGAGUGUAGAGGUGAAAUUCGUAGAUAUUCGCAAGAACACCAGUGGCGAAGGCGGCUCACUGGCCCGAUACUGACGCUGAGGCACGAAAGCGUGGGGAGCAAACAGG
rnacentral:rRNA from 1 species